UACGAAGGGGGCGAGCGUUGUUCGGAUUUACUGGGCGUAAAGGGCGCGUAGGCGGCCUUGUCAGUCAGGCGUGAAAGCCCCGGGCUCAACCUGGGAACGGCGCUUGGGACGGCGAGGCUGGAGUUCGGGAGAGGAGAGUGGAAUUCCCAGUGUAGAGGUGAAAUUCGUAGAUAUUGGGAAGAACACCGGUGGCGAAGGCGGCUCUCUGGACCGACACUGACGCUGAGGCGCGAAAGCGUGGGGAGCAAACAGG
rnacentral:rRNA from 1 species